rnacentral:rRNA from 1 species
UACAGAGGUCUCGAGCGUUAGGCGGAAUCACUGGGCUUAAAGCGUGUGUAGGUGGAUCGGUAAGUACCUUGUGAAAUCCCACGGCUUAACCGUGGAACUGCUUGGUAUACUGCCAGUCUUGAGCCAGCUAGGGGCUACCGGAACAAAUGGUGGAGCGGUGAAAUGCGUAGAUAUGCGGAGGAACACCGAUGGCGAAGGCAAUCCCCUGGACCUGUACUGACGCUCAUGCACGAAAGCGUGGGGAGCAAACAGG